UACGUAGGGGGCAAGCGUUGUCCGGAAUCAUUGGGCGUAAAGAGCGUGUAGGCGGCCCGAUAAGUCCGCUGUGAAAGUCCAGGGCUCAACCCUGGAAUGCCGGUGGAUACUGUCGGGCUCGAAUCCGGAAGAGGUGAGUGGAAUUCCUGGUGUAGCGGUGAAAUGCGCAGAUAUCAGGAGGAAUACCGAUGGCGAAGGCAGGUCUCUGGACAGUUACUGACACUGAGGCACGAAGGCCAGGGGAGCAAACGGG
rnacentral:rRNA from 1 species